CGGCCUAUCGCCGGGCGCUGGGGCUGCUGCGGGCUCAAGGGAACCCAACCGGCCUUGAUCUGAGCGCGGUAGCCCGCCGGUUGCGCUGGCUGGAAACCGGACCGGCGCCGGCGCCACUGCCUCUGAUUGCCAGCACUUCGGGUGGGCACUCUGGAGAGACUGCCGGUGACAAGCCGGAGGAAGGUGGGGAUGACGUCAAGUCCUCAUGGCCCUUACGGGCUGGGCUACACACGUGCUACAAUGGCAUCUACAAUGGGUCGCCACCUCGCGAGAGGGCGCUAAUCUCCAAAAGAUGUCUCAGUUCGGAUUGCACUCUGCAACUCGGGUGCAUGAAGUCGGAAUCGCUAGUAAUCGUGGAUCAGCAUGCCACGGUGAAUACGUUCCCG
rnacentral:ncRNA from 1 species